rnacentral:rRNA from 1 species
UUGCCCUAGUAACGGCGAGUGAAGCGGCAACAGCUCAAAUUUGAAAUCUGGCCUCGGCCCGAGUUGUAAUUUGUAGAGGAAGCUUUUGGCACGGCACCUGCUGAGUCCCCUGGAACGGGGCGCCAUAGAGGGUGAGAGCCCCGUAUAGCAGGACGCCUAGCCUCUGUAAAGCUCCUUCGACGAGUCGAGUAGUUUGGGAAUGCUGCUCAAAAUGGGAGGUAAAUUUCUUCUAAAGCUAAAUACCGGCCAGAGACCGAUAGCGCACAAGUAGAGUGAUCGAAAGAUGAAAAGCACUUUGAAAAGAGGGUUAAAUAGCACGUGAAAUUGUUGAAAGGGAAGCGCUUGUGACCAGACUCGCGCCGGGCUGAUCAUCCGAGCUUCUGCUCGGUGCACUCUGCCCGGCUCGGGCCAGCAUCGGUUCUCGCGGGGGGAUAAAGGCCCUGGGAACGUAGCUCCUCCGGGAGUGUUAUAGCCCGGGGUGUAAUGCCCUCGCGGGGACCGAGGACCGCGCUUCGGCAAGGAUGCUGGCGUAAUGGUCAUCAGCGACCCGUCUUGAAACACGGACCAAGGAGUCAAGGUUUUGCGCGAGUGUUUGGGUGUUAAACCCGCACGCGUAAUGAAAGUGAACGUAGGUGAGAGCUUCGGCGCAUCAUCGACCGAUCCUGAUGUAUUCGGAUGGAUUUGAGUAGGAGCGUUAAGCCUUGGACCCGAAAGAUGGUGAACUAUGCUUGGAUAGGGUGAAGCCAGAGGAAACUCUGGUGGAGGCUCGCAGCGGUUCUGACGUGCAAAUCGAUCGUCAAAUCUGAGCAUGGGGGCGAAAGACUAAUCG